rnacentral:sRNA from 1 species
ACAGGUGGUAUCCCGAAGCCUAAUGAGCACCGCGAUCGGCGGGUCCCUGGAGAUUGUCUUGCACAGCCUGGGCCAGAAGUGUUUAAGCUUUUCCCGAGCAGAGACAGUGGCACAGCUGAGGAGCACAGAACCUCAACUGUCUGGUGUGGGUGACCGGCAGUGGUUGUAUCAGACAUGUACCGAGUUCGGCUUCUGGGACACAGACCCCUGGCAUGUGCUAAGUGUAACACAGGCUUUAGGAUCCUCAGAAUCAACUCUUCUUAUCCGCACUGGCUCCCACUGCUUGGACAUGGCACCUGAGAGGCCCUCAGACUCCCCCAGCCUCCGCCUAGGGCGCCAGAACAUCUUCCAGCAGCUACAGACCUGGCUCAAGCUGGCAAAGGAGAGCCAGAUUAAGGGUGAAGUCUGAAUCUCAUACCCUUUCCACUCCCUGCAUGGUCACCUCAGUCCUGGACAUACUUGUUCACUGAACAAAAGAAAGCAGCUUGUUUUGAAAGAAGAAACUCCCAGGAAUUGGAAUUCAGCACCUGUUCCGCACGUAAUUGGCAUGUGUCUGCAAACAUCCUUAUUCCCAACUUAAAGUGCUUUAUUGCAGAGAGUUAUGGAAAUAUAAGUGGAUGAUUAUUCUCAUUGUAAAUAUUGGUAUUUUGAAUGUUAAAUUUCAAACAAAUGUGACUUAUGCUGGUGCCCUCGCCCUGCUGAUCAGAUUCUGGUUCAAAUUCUGCCACUCCAGCUCCUGGGUUAGGGGCUUUGCUGUAAGUUUCUUUUUCUGGACUUUAGAUCCUGAACCUGUCCUUGCUUCUCAGUUUCUCUCACUGUACCCCUUUCCCUCAGUCUCUUCCUCUCUCUUUCCCCUGUCACUAUUUGUCUUUCUAAUCUCCUUCUGUUUCUCUGAAUAUCUUCAUUUCUAUCUCUGUGUUUCUGUCUAUUUCUCUGUUUAUCUUUCUGUCCUUCAAUCUGUUUUUGUUUCUGGCUCUCCGUCAGUGUCUUUGUCUCUCCU